rnacentral:rRNA from 1 species
AGUGAACGCUGGCGGUAGGCCUAACACAUGCAAGUCGAACGGCAGCACAGUAAGAGCUUGCUCUUACGGGUGGCGAGUGGCGGACGGGUGAGGAAUACAUCGGAAUCUACUUUUUCGUGGGGGAGAACGUAGGGAAACUUACGCUAAUACCGCAUACGACCUACGGGUGAAAGCAGGGGAUCUUCGGACCUUGCGCGAUUGAAUGAGCCGCUGUCGGAUUAGCUAGUUGGCGGGGUAAAGGCCCACCAAGGCGACGAUCCGUAGCUGGUCUGAGAGGAUGAUCAGCCACACUGGAACUGAGACACGGUCCAGACUCCUACGGGAGGCAGCAGUGGGGAAUAUUGGACAAUGGGCGCAAGCCUGAUCCAGCCAUACCGCGUGGGUGAAGAAGGCCUUCGGGUUGUAAAGCCCUUUUGUUGGGAAAGAAAAGCAGCAGGUUAAUACCCCGCUGUUCUGACGGUACCCAAAGAAUAAGCACCGGCUAACUUCGUG